rnacentral:lncRNA from 1 species
GUGUUUUCUUUGGCUGGAGGCAGAAGAGGAAAUCUUAGAGAUUCCAAGCCUGAGAAGGACUCAACCCACAAUUACUGGCUUUGAGGAUGGAGCAAGGGGGCAAUGAGCCAAGGAAUACAGCCGGAAAACCAUUGGUACUUGCCCCAGGUAGGAGGAGGAGCAGAGAACAGAAGGUUUCUGUGGAGCUGCGUUAAUCACCAAGGAGAGGCAGAUGGCUCCAAGCCCACAGAGUGUGACCCAGGUAAUCAGAGGGCUCUUUUCCUUCCACAAGACUUGCUGAUAAAUAAAGGGUAUUGGA